rnacentral:snRNA from 1 species
GUGUGUUAGCUUAUGGUUAUCACAUAUAUUAAAUAAUUGGAAUAAUACAUGAGAGAUCAGCAUGGCCCUCUGCCCAGAUGACACACAUUUGUGAAAGGUCUUCCAUAUUUUU